rnacentral:rRNA from 1 species
UACGUAGGCAGCGAGCGUUGUUCGGAAUUACUGGGCGUAAAGAGUGUGUAGGCGGUGCUCUAAGUUCGGUGUGAAAUCCUCCCGCUUAACUGGGAGGGUGCGCCGGAAACUGGAGUGCUCGAGCGUGGGAGAGGAAAGCGGAAUUCCUGGUGUAGCGGUGAAAUGCGUAGAUAUCAGGAAGAACACCUAUGGCGAAGGCAGCUCUCUGGGACGGUACUGACGCUGAGACGCGAAGACGUGGGAGGCG